UACGGAGGGUGCAAGGGUUGUCCGGAUUCACGGGGUUUAAAGGGUGCGUAGGAGGGCAGGUAAGUCAGUGGUGAAAUCCCCGAGCUUAACUUGGGAACUGCCGUUGAUACUAUCUGUCUUGAAUAUUGUGGAGGUAAGCGGAAUAUGUCAUGUAGCGGUGAAAUGCUUAGAUAUGACAUAGAACACCAAUUGCGAAGGCAGCUUGCUACACAACUAUUGACUCUGAUGCACGAAAGCGUGGGGAUCAAACAGG
rnacentral:rRNA from 1 species